AUUUUGAAGAGCACAGAGGUGAAGGACUAACAGUUUCCCUGGGAGAAUUCCUGUCCUUUCUGGUCUCCUGUGGCACAGAACGCAUACCUAAAGGAAAAGAAGUCAGCUGUUUCCAGCACAGACCUCAUUUUGAUAUGAACGCUCUGAAUUUCAAAGGUGUCCUCUCAAAAUGCUAGAAUCUUCCCCAGAUAUACAGUAUAUCCCACAAGAACAGAUUCCUGCUGAUCUGAAGUCGGAAUGUUGAUCUGGAAGAGGUGUAUUUAUUUUUCUCAGGGGUGCAACCAAAGAGAAGAGUGCAUCAGCAAAUUCAGUGAAAUUAAAUUUAUUGUCUCUGAAGGCUCAAGCAGUCUCAUAAUUCUGUGAAAACGCAAUAAAAAAAUAUCUGGAGUUAUCUAAAGAAAUUUAUUUCUAGGAGUACCACUACAAAGCUUCAAAAGCCAAUAAUCUAAGAAAUAGUAUCUUAGAUUCUAUCACAG
rnacentral:lncRNA from 1 species